UUCAUAAACAGCUAGUCAACCACCUCGGUAGCUUGCUAGCCAAAAUAGCCGAAAGAUUCAAGCUAUUUAUACGCUUUUGGUCUAUAUUAGCUAUUGUAUUUUAAACACAUUUGUCGUAUCUACCUGAUAACAUAUUUGAUUUAAUACUUACGUUAUUUUGUAUUAGUCAGCUAGUCAGCUAGUAGCUGGCUGGUUAAGUUAGCACUAGCCUAGUCGCUAAUGAUAGCUAACUAGCCAAUAUCCCCGACCAUGAGCUCCCUAAACUACUCUCCUCCUGUUAAAGAAGAGGAUGUCUGCUGGACGGAGAAAGAAGCUCUGGGGCUGAACAUUGUCGUGAAAGAGGAGAAGGAAGAGGAGGAUGUCACAGUUAAACAAGAAGUAGAGAGUGAGGCUGUUACAGUAAAAGAAGAGGAAGACACGUUCAGAGUGAAAGAGGAGGAGGAGGAGUAUGUUAUGGUGAAAGAAGAGGAGGACGAUAAAGAGGAGGAUGUCGUUUUUGGAGUGAAGAAGGAAGGAGAGAUUACUGUCACAUUGGAAGAUGAAGAGGAGGAGAUAGGAGAACUGAUUAACACCCGAGAAAGAGCAGACUCUCACUAUGACAGCAGGAAGAGUCCUUCAGGGGAACCAGAUCCAGAGACGCCCAAACCAGCGGGACAACACCACUGCUCCCACUGUGAAAAGAGUUUUCGCUGGUUAGGGAACCUAAAACGCCAUGAGAGGACACACACAGGAGAAAAGCCAUACCACUGCUUCCAAUGUGAAAAGAGAUUUUCCAGAUCAGGGGACCUAAAAGCUCAUGAGAGUACACACACAGGAUUAAAGCCUUACCACUGCUUCUUAUGUGAAAAGAGAUUUUCCCGAUCAGGGGACCUAAAAGCUCAUGAGAGGACCCACACAGGAGAAAAGACUUUCCAAUGUUCCCAGUGUGGAAAGAGUUUUACCCUGUUAGCUAAUCUGAAAAGGCAUGAGAGAAUACACACAGGAGAAAAUCCUUAUCACUGUUCCCACUGUGGAAUGAGUUUUAUUCAGUUAGCAAGCCUGAAGGCACAUGAGUGGACACACACAGAAGAAAAGACUUUCCAGUGUUCCCAGUGUAGCAAGAUUUUUACUCUGUUAGCUAACCUGAAAAGGCAUGAGAGAAUACACACAGGAGAAAAGCCUUACCACUGCUUCCAGUGUGAAAAGAGAUUUUCCCGAUCAGGGGACUUAAAAGCUCAUGAGUGGACACACACAGGAGAAGAACCUUUCCAUUGUUCCCAGUGUAGAAAGCGUUUUACUGUGUUAGCUAACCUGAAAAGGCAUGAGAGAAUACACACAGGAGAAAAGCCUCAUCGCUGUUCCCACUGUGGAAUGAGUUUUAUUCAGUCGAGGAGCCUGAAGGAGCAUGAGUGGACACACACAGGAGAAAAGCCUUUUCAAUGUUCCCAGUGUGGAAAGAGUUUUAUUGUGUUAAGUAACCUAAAAAGACAUGAGAGAAUACACACAGGAGAAAAGCCAUUCCAAUGUUCCCAUUGUGGAAACAGUUUUACUCAGAGAGGGCACCUACAAGAGCACGAGAGAAUACACACAGGAGAAAAGCCUUACCACUGCUCCCAGUGUAAAAAUAGAUUUUCCCGGGUAGGGGACCUAAAAGCUCAUGAGAGGACACACACAGGAGAAAAGCCUUUCCAAUGUUCCCAGUGUAGAAAGAGUUUUAACGCGUUAGCUACCCUGAAAAGGCAUGAAAGGAUACACACAAAAGAAAAGCCGGGCACCGAAGACGUGGAUGUCGAUUAAGGCAGCCCCCCGCACCUCUCUGAUUCAGAGGGGUUGGGUUAAAUGGGGAAGACACAUUUCAGUUGAAUGCAUUCAGUUGUACAACUGACUAGGUAUCUCCCUUUCCCAUUCCCUAUUAUAGAGCUCUGCUCAGUCUAUAAACAUGCAAGAAAGGUUAGAUUUUAUGUUCUACAUUAUUAUUAUUAUUAUUAUUAGGGCAGCCACCAAGUUAUGAAAAUUAUGGUAUGUUCUGAAAACUGACUUCAGGUUUUUGAGGAUUCUAGCCUCGCAGGAAGACGGUUGUAUUUUAUGGAGGUUUAAUUCAGUUCUCUUUUUAGUAUUUAACUAAAUACUCUGUCUUUGGUAGGAGAGGGACCAGACUUAUCACUGUUCCCACUGUGGAAUGAGUUCUCUUCAGUUAGGUUCUCUUCAGUUAGGGAGCCGGAAGGAGCAUGAGUGGACAAACACAGGAGAAAAGCCUUACCAUUACUCCCAGCGUUAAAAACAGAUUUAAACGAGUAGGAGACCUUAAAGCUCAUGAGAGAAUACACACAGGAGAAAAGCCUUUCCAAUGCUCCCAGUGUGGAAAUAGUUUUAUCUGGUUCAGGAGCCUGAAGAAGCAUGAGAGAAUACACACUGAAAAAGCCCUAUCACUGCUCUCUCUCUGUGUGGAAGAACAUUUUCCCAGUCAGAGAACCUGAAAUCACAUGAGAGAAUAGAAAGGCUGUAUUCCGACUUAUAUUUUUGACUGAGAAUUUGUGUUUUUGUUUUGUGCCACAUUAAAUCAUAUUAGGAUUAUACCUGUCUAUAUAAGGUCCCACAGUUUACAGUGCAUGUCAGAGCAAAUUCCAAGCCAUGAGGUCGAAGAAAUUGUCCGUAGAGCUCAGAGACAGGAUUGUGUCAAGGCACAGAUCUGGGGAAGGGUACCAAAAAAUGUCUGCAGAAUUGAAGGUCCCCAAGAACACAAUGGUCGCCAUCAUUCUUAAAUGGAAGAAGUUUGGAACCACCUAGACUCUUCCUAGAGCUGGCCGCCCGGCCAAACUGAGCAACCGGGGGAGAAGGACCUUGGUCAGGGAGGUGACCAAGAACCCGAUGGUCACUCUGAGCUCCAGAGUUCCUCUGUGGAGAUGGGAUAACCUUCCAGAAGGACAAUCAUCUCUGCAGCACUCCACCAAUCAGGCCUUUAUGGUAGAGAGGCCAGACGGAAGCCACUCCUCAGUAAAAGGCACAUGACAGCCCGCUUGGAGUUUGCCAAAAGGCACCUAAAGACUCUCAGACCAUGAGAAACAAGAUUCUCUGGUCUGAUGAAACCACGAUUGAACUCUUUGGCCUGACUGCCAAGUGGCUCGCCUAGCGUAAAGCGUGGUGGUGGCAGCAUCAUGCUGUGGGGAUGUUUUUCAGCGGCAGGGACUGGGAAACUAGUCAAGAUCGAGGGAAAGAUGAACAGUGCAGAGAGAUCCUUGAUGAAAACCUGCUACAGAGAGCUCAGGACCUCAGACUGGGGUGCAGGUUCACCUACCAAAGGGACAAUGACCCUAAGCCCACAGCCAAGACAAUGCAGGAGUUGCUUCAGGAGAAGUCUCUGAAUAACCUUGAGUGGCCCAGCCAGAGCCCGGACUUGAACCCGAUCGGAGACCUGAAAAUAGCUGUGCAGCGACGCUCCCCAUCCAACCUGACAAAGCUUGAGAGGAUCUGCAGAGAAGAAUGGGAGAAACGCCCCAAAUACAGAUGUGCCAAGCUUGUAGCGUGAUACUCCAGAAGACUCAAGGAUGUAAUCGCUGCCAAAGGUGUUUCAACAAAGAGAGAGAUGGGACUAUCUUGGAUCCUCUGGGGAGCCUCAACAACUUCAUGAUGCUGACGAGGCAGAGAAGAGUCUCUCCAGAUCAGAACACCUCAAGACACACCUGCAGAGAACCACAGGGAAGAAAUCGCAUUGCUGCUCUGACUGUGGGAGGAGAUUCACCUCUUCAGCAGGCAUUACAAUUCAUCAGAGAAUCCACACAGGAGAGAAACCUUAUAGCUGUGAUCAAUGUGGGAAGAGAUAUCUUACAUGUAGCAGUUUGACUAAACACCAGAGAACACACACAGGAGAGAAACUUUUAAGCUGCUCUGACUGUGGAAAGAGUUUUGUUUCUUCAAGAUGUUUAGAAUCACACCCGAGAACACACACAGGAGAGAAACCUUAUAGCUGUGAUCAAUGUGGGAAGAGAUUUGUUACAUCUAGCAGUCUGACUAAACACCAGAGAACACACACAGGAGAGAAACCGUAUAACUGUAACCAAUGUGGGAAGACUUUUAGUCAGUCAUUCAGCCUGAUAUCACACCGGAGAACACACACAGGAGAGAAGCCUUAUAGCUGUGAUCAAUGUGGGAAGAGUUUUGUUACGUCUAGCAGUCUGACUAUACACCAGAGGACACACACAGGAGAGAAACCUUAUAGCUGUGAUCAAUGUGACAAGAGAUACUCUAGUAAAAGAUCUCUGAUCAAACAUCAGAAAAAACAUACAUGAAGGAGUUAUUUCACGAUAUCAAUUAAAUAAAAUCUCACAAUGUAGAAUGUUUAAACAUUGUAGAAGGAGUAUUUUAAAAAUGUCACAAUGUAGAACCCUAAACGUUUGCCCCCUGUUCAAUUGAUUUCAGCAUGAUAUGGAUAUUAGCCUCACGGAAAAAUCUAGGGUCUGAAUUGAAAAGAGUACUAUUUAUGUGAUUUAACAAAAAGUGACUAACAAAAAAAAGAGUUGCAUUACACUUACCACGUUGGCGACCCACUUGAAUCAAAAUGUAGCUAGCUGUUUUCCACAAAUUGUCCUCUAACCAGGGAUGUACAAAUUAUUCCCAGAUUCCGUGUGUUUUUUGAGCUGUUAGUUUUAACAGGACGUGCAACCUCAUCUCCCUCCUCUCGCACAAAUGAUUUCAACGUGAUAUCGAUGAGAGAUGACAAAUAAGUGUUGCGUUCCUUUGUUUAGCGACCCCUACAUUUCAAUGCAUCACUCCAAAAUGUAGCUGACUGUCUUCUGCAGGUUGUCCUCUAACCAGUGAGGUAAAAGAUAUCUCCCAUUUCAAUGUUUUCUUUAGUUGUUAGUUUCAACAGCACGUAGAACUGAUUUCCCCCCUAAUCGAUAUCAGUGAUUUAUUGCUACUUGUCAAAGCAACAGCGUUGCUGGUGCUUGUGCAGUUUAUUAGGUGCUUGUUUAAAAAAAAACAUACAAGUCAUAUGAUUAUUGUGGCAGAUGUUUGUGUACAUAGCACAUGUUAUGUUUAGGUUUUGAAUAUAUCACAAACUGUUUCUGCAUAUUGGUUAUUGAUUUAGACAUGUUAAAACUGUGUUUUUACAUUGGGGCUAUUCCACCGAGCAAAAUGUCAUUGAAAAGAAGACUAUGCCCGACGUCCAAUAUCCGUUCGGUUGUAGUUGAAAGUGAAAGUUGAAAAUAUGUAUUUUCGGGUCGUUUUGUCAAUGACUUGAAAAUCACUUAAUUUCAACGUACUUGCAGCCUAUAUGGACGCAGUAUAAUAAAUGGGUCUGUAAUCAAUUUUAUUAACAAUCAUACAUCACUCCAGUAUUUAUUGACAACAUUCAAGUGCUAAUUGUCUUUAUUCCACUACUGAAGAAGCAUGAUUCAAAUCACCUCAUAUUUCAAACAUUCAGCCUGACAAAAUAUACAUUUUUAUUAUUCCAUGCCUCACCAUUAAGUUAAUUACUGCCAAUACAUAUUCACAAAGGGGUGUACAUUUGAUCACAAUUUAUUUUGACUGCACGUUUUUCCAUAUUGGAGAUGAGUUUUGUUUGGACUCGUUCCAAGUGGAAUAGAAGCUAGUGAGUUUUAGGAUUCUAUAAAAAGAGAAAGGAGAAAAGAUACGAUUGUAUAUUAUAAUUUAGAAGUACGUCAGAGUAACACCAGUAAAUACUAAUAUUUGUACACACAUGUGGUUUUAAAGCAGCAAUGGUUUUUGUUUUGCAUACAUUUUAAAGUGAAAAAAUGCUUACUUAACCAUAGUUCCUCACAGAGAUCUAUAGUUCCUCACAGCGAUCUAUAGUUCCUCACAGAGAUCUAUAGUUCCUCACAGAGAUCUAUAACUCCUCACAGAGAUCUAUAGUUCCUCACAGAGAUCUAUAGUUCCUCACAGAGAUCUAUAGCUCCUCCUAGAGAUCUAUAGUUGCUCACAGAGAUCUAUAGUUGCUCACAGAGAUCUAUAGUUCCUCACAGAGAUCUAUAGUUCCUCACAGAGAUCUAUAGCUCCUCCUAGAGAUCUAUAGUUCCUCACAGAGAUCUAUAGUUCCUCACAGAGAUCUAUAACUCCUCGCUACUCCCUCUGCUGGGAGUAUGUUUGGAGAGCUGCUUCGUAGCUAUGGAGUCCUUGAAAAAGCAAAUGGAAUGGUUGUUGUGAGUACCUAAGAAUUUCUUACAUUUUAUAUCGAUUUUGUGAAUAUAUGAAAAUAUGAUACAUUGUAUGUGUGUAUAAUCGAUUGCUAGAGAUUUAAUAAAGUAAUACUGGGAAUAUAAUUAGAUACAAUUUAAACAACCCAUAUGUAGACCAAUGUAGGUUUUGAGUUGGUAUCUU